rnacentral:rRNA from 1 species
GACGAACGCUGGCGGCGUGCCUAACACAUGCAAGUCGAACGGAACUAUUUUGAAAGAUUUCUUCGGAAUGAAUUUGAUUUAGUUUAGUGGCGGACGGGUGAGUAACGCGUGAGUAACCUGCCUUCAAGAGGGGAAUAACAUUCUGAAAAGAAUGCUAAUACCGCAUGACAUAUCGGAACCACAUGGUUUUGAUAUCAAAGAUUUUAUCGCUUGAAGAUGGACUCGCGUCCGAUUAGUUAGUUGGUGAGGUAACGGCUCACCAAGACCGCGAUCGGUAGCCGGACUGAGAGGUUGAACGGCCACAUUGGGACUGAGACACGGCCCAGACUCCUACGGGAGGCAGCAGUGGGGGAUAUUGCGCAAUGGGGGCAACCCUGACGCAGCAACGCCGCGUGAAGGAUGAAGGUUUUCGGAUUGUAAACUUCUUUUAUUAAGGACGAAAAAUGACGGUACUUAAUGAAUAAGCUCCGGCUAACUACGUG